AUGGAUUGCCUAUCAAGUAUGACAAAAAGUGACCUGGAGCGCAUGCUAUUUGAUGAAACCGCAGAGCCGAAGGCCCUGCCAUUAUCACUUUUGGCAGAAAUCACAAAUGGUUUCUCUGAUAAGCAGGAAAUUGGCGAAGGUGGUUUUGCAGUUGUCUACCAGGGAAUGCUCAAUGGUGGGAAGGUAGCUGUGAAGAGGCUGUCCAAGACGCAUUUGUAUGAGAAGGAGUUCCAGCGAGAAGUUGAAUGUCUCAUGGUGGCGAAGCACAAAAAUGUAGUACGGUUCCUGGGGUAUUGUGCUGACACACAAGGGAGUGCGGAAAGGUACAACGGAAAAUUCGUCAUGGCGGAUGUACAACGAAGGUUGCUCUGCUUUGAGUAUCUUCCCAAUGGGAGUCUUGAUAAGUAUAUCACUGAUACAUCUCGCAAACUUCCGUGGAGAAACUGCUAUAAAAUUAUUCAAGGAAUUUGUCAGGGGCUGCAUUAUCUUCAUGUGAAAAAAAUUGUCCACUUAGAUCUAAAGCCAGCAAAUAUAUUGUUGGAUGACAAUUUGGUGCCGAAAAUUGCUGAUUUCGGCCUCUCAAGGUGUUUUGAAGAUAUACAAAGCCGGGUUUUUACUCAGAAUAUAGGUGGAACAUUGGGAUAUUUGGCACCAGAAUUUGGUAAUGGUGUAAUCACAUACAAGUUUGAUGUCUAUAGUCUUGGUGCAAUAAUCAUAGAGAUACUCACUGGAGAGAAGGGGUAUCACACUGUCGACACUGUAGUUCAAAUUUGGAGCGAGAAGUUGGAGAAAUCACACAGCGACAUACAGCUGCAACAAGUACGAGUAUGUACUGAGAUAGGAAUAGAGUGCAUUGACUCCAACCCUGCGAAGAGACCGGAUACACAGAAUAUAAUCGAUAGACUCAAUGAAACAGGCAGUAUGGUCGGGUAUAUGGAAACAAGCAUGAUUACUUCACAACUGGUAGAAAUUUCUCUGGAUGAACUGCAUCAAGAUAGGCCUAAGACGCCAGAAGAGACAAGCUCCGAGGAUUCAUCAUUUUACCGGUCAUCAAAGUUACUGCUGCAUCAAACGCAACCAGGAGCCUGGAAUCUUGACUCCGACUUGGAGGCAGGGAAAACGCUGGCAAGUCAAAAUUGGACGGACAACAUUGUUUGCAUCCAGAAGGUCCGUCCGGUGGUGCACAACAGCUACACGCCGCAACGCGUGCCGAUCGGUCCUUACCAUCGCAGUUGUUCGUCUACACGGAUUGAAAAAGAGAAGCUGCGAUAUGUGGGCUUCAUGCAGACCGUUUCCGAGACUCGAGGGACAGGUGGCCUUAGUGGUCUUGGGGAGGGACUGGAGCUGCGAGCGAGGGAUUGGUACGUGGACGGGGUCGCCGACAUGACGCCGGAAGAGUUGGCGAGGAUGCUGCUGCAUGAUGGGUGUUACCUGCUCGGUCGGCUGGGGAACUAUCCGGGCCACAGUCUACCUCAAGCCUGCAACUUUGACAACACCGAGUUUCGGGACGUCCUUUAUCUGAUUGAUAACCAGCUACCUUUCUUUGUUCUCGAGGAAAUCCACGAGCGCGUCAUGUCCAGUGACUGUUCUCUCAGCGACUCCUUGGUAGAGUAUGUCCGGCGUCUGCUGGCGGCACAGCUCUACAUCAGCCCAGGGCAGAAGAGACUGAUGAAGCAGCCGUGCCACCUGCUGCACCUGGUGCACACAUACUUCCAUCCAAACCAAGUAGGUUGCGGAUGGUCUGAUGGUUUCCAGGCGCUCACUGGUCGGUGGCGCCGGGCGACCGAGUACCGUUUGGACGCCAACGUGAAGUUCAUGCCUCGGGAGUUCUCGGCGGACGUGACUUCUAUCCUGGACGUGCGCCUUGAAGGUUGCACGCUGUUGAUCCCUCGGCUGCACGUCAACAACGACACGUGGACGCUCCUACAAAACCUGAUGACGCUGGAGGAGCAAAUGCCCAAGAGGCCCGUCACGGCGUACUGCAUCUUCAUGUCGCAGCUGGCGUGUACGCCGGAGGACGUACGGCUCCUGGUUGAUGCAAAGAUCGUGCAGCACUUUCUGGCCAGCGACCAGAUUGCCGCCCGAGGGUUUGUCGGCCUCCUCCGAGAGGUCGUCAUGGACGUCGACAACAUCGACAGGAACUAUCUCAGCCCCAUCUGGCACCAACUGGAGAUGCGUGCGGAGCCUUAUGAGCCAGGUUUUCUUGCUCGAUUUCGAUUUUUUUGCAGAAAGGGCCGGAAGGACCGGUUUAUCUAA
rnacentral:rRNA from 1 species